rnacentral:rRNA from 1 species
CAGCCGCCGCGGGAAUACGUAGGUGGCGAGCGUUGUCCGGAUUUAUUGGGCGUAAAGGGAGUGUAGGCGGUCUUUUAAGUCUGAUGUGAAAGCCCACGGCUCAACCGUGGAGGGUCAUUGGAAACUGGGAGACUUGAGUGCAGAAGAGGAGAGCGGAAUUCCAUGUGUAGCGGUGAAAUGCGUAGAGAUGUGGAGGAACACCAGUGGCGAAGGCGACUCUCUGGUCUGUAACUGACGCUGAGGAGCGAAAGCGUGGGGAGCGAACAGGAUUAGAUACCCCCGUAGUCCCUGUCUCUUAUAA